rnacentral:rRNA from 1 species
UGAAUACGAGGCACUAAGGUGCUGAAGUAGUGUAUGUCAUACUUCCAAGAAAAGCUUGCACUAUCGUAAGAUAAAAAUGCCUGUACCAUAACCGACACAGGUGGGUAGGUAGAGUAUACUAAGGGGCGCGAGAUAACUCUCUCUAAGGAACUCGGCAAAAUAACUCCGUAACUUCGGGAGAAGGAGUGCCUUAUUCUAUAAGGUUGCAAUAACAAGAUCCAAGCAACUGUUUAUCAAAAACACAGGUCUCCGCUAAGUCGUAAGACGAUGUAUGGGGGCUGACGCCUGCCCAGUGCCAGAAGGUUAAAGAAGUCGGUUAGCAAUUGCGAAGCUGGUAACUGAAGCCCUGGUGAACGGCGGCCGUAACCAUAACGGUCCUAAGGUAGCGAAAUUCCUUGUCGGGUAAGUUCCGACCCGCACGGAAGGCGUAAUGAUUUGGAUACUGUCUCGGAGAGGGACUCGGUGAAAUAGACUUGUCUGUGAAGAUGCGGACUACCUGCACCAGGACAGAAAGACCCUAUGAAGCUUUACUGUAACUUGAAAUUGAAAUUGGACUUUAUUCACGCAGUAUAGGUGGGAGGCGUUGAUUAUAAUCUUGUGGGAUUAUUGGAGCCAUUAGUGAGAUACCACUCUUGUAAUGUUAGAUUUCUAACUUUGAAUCAUGAUCUGGUCAAAGAGCAGUUUCAGGCGGGCAGUUUGACUGGGGCGGUCGCCUCCUAAAUGGUAACGGAGGCGUACAAAGGUUUCCUCUGAACGGGUAGAAAUCGUAUCUAGAGUGUAAAGGCAUAAGGAAGCUUGACUGUGAGACCUACAAGUCGAGCAGGGACGAAAGUCGGUCUUAGUGAUCUGACGGUACUGAGUGGAAAGGCCGUCACUCAACGGAUAAAAGUUACUCUAGGAUAACAGGCUGAUCUCCCCCAAGAGUUCACAUCGACGGGGAGGUUUGGCACCUCGAUGUCGGCUCAUCGCAUCCUGGGGCGGUAGUACGUCCCAAGGGUUGGGCUGUUCGCCCAUGAAAGCGGUACGCGAGCUGGGUUCAGAACGUCGUGAGACAGUUCGGUCCAUAUCCGGUGUAGGCGUUAGAAUAUUGAGAGGAGCCUUCUUUAGUACGAGAGGACCGAGAAGGACAUACCUCUGGUGUACCAGUUAUCGUGCCAACGGUAAACGCUGGGUAGCUAUGUAUGGAGUGGAUAACCGCUGAAAGCAUCUAAGUGGGAAGCCCACCUCAAGAUAAG